rnacentral:rRNA from 1 species
CCUACGGGACGCAGCAGUGAGGAAUAUUGGUCAAUGGGCACGAGCCUGAACCAGCCAAGUAGCGUGAAGGAUGACUGCCCUACGUGUUGUAAACUUCUUUUAUAAAGGAAUAAAGUGAGGCACGUGUGCCUUUUUGUAUGUACUUUAUGAAUAAGGAUAGGCUAACUCCGUGCCAGCAGCCGCGGUAAUACGGGGGAUCCGAGCGUUAUCCGGAUUUAUUGGGUUUAAAGGGAGCGUCGAUGGGUUGUUAAGUAAGUUGUGAAAGUUUGCGGCUCAACCGUAAAAUUGCAAUUGACACUGGCAGUCGUGAGUACAGUUGAGGUAGGCGGAAUUCGUGGUGUAGCGGUGCAAUGCUUAGAUAUCACGAAGAACUCCGAUUGCGAAGGCAGCUUACUAAACUGCCACUGACAUUGAUGCUCGAAAGUGUGGGUAUCAAACAGGAGUAGAUACCCUUGUAGUC